rnacentral:sRNA from 1 species
ACAGGGAAGCAGCGGCCGCCAUUUCAGGGAGCUUGUCGACGCUGUCGCAGGGGUGGAUCCUGAGCUGCCGAAGCCGCCGUCCUGCUCUCCCGCGUGGGCUUCUCUAAUUCCAUUUUUUUUUUAGAUUCGCUCGGGCCUAGCCGUCCUUGGAGCCCGAUAUUCGGGCUGGGCGGUUCCGCGGCCUGGGCCUUAGGGGCUUAACAGUAGCAACAGAAGCAGCGGCGGCGGCGGCGGCAGCAGCAGCAGCAGAAACCUCUUCCCGAACACGAGCACCACAGGCGCCCGAAGGCCGGAACAGGCGUUUAGAGAAAAUGGCAGACGAUAUUGAUAUUGAAGCAAUGCUUGAGGCUCCUUACAAGAAGACUUGCCUAACGAUAUCUCACCUCUACUCCCAUGAAUUCACCUUUGAUUCCAGUGUGAACUGUCAAUCAUAAGGUAGUAAUUGAGUGACUUAUCGCUGUACCGUGGUCCCCUAGGUAAAAUGACUCAACUAAGAAUUACCACCUCCAGUUUGGUAUAGCAAAAAGGUGAAUGUAGUGGUUUGGGAAAAAGCAGGGGUCCAAGAAUAACAAAGCAUAACCAGUCUGUGGCAAGUUAAAUCUUCUAAUAGUCUUAUAAGAAGAAAUGGGUGAGAUUUUAAAAUUUAUGUAUCUGUGUAAGACUGGUGAUAGUAAAUCUUAAAACAGUCCAGUGGCAAUCUGCUGCUCAGUUAAUAAUUACUAAAAUUCUUGGAUCCCUGAAUAGAAAUUAAAAAAAAAAAUACAAGAGGCAGUAUCACAGCUUAGAGUCACUUGAUGACUGUUUUACUGUUCUCCAUAUUGUUUU